rnacentral:rRNA from 1 species
UGAGGAAUUUUCCGCAAUGGGCGAAAGCCUGACGGAGCAAUGCCGCGUGAAGGAUGAAGGCCUGUGGGUUGUAAACUUCUUUUCUCAGAGAAGAAAAAUUGACGGUAUCUGAGGAAUAAGCAUCGGCUAACUCUGUGCCAGCAGCCGCGGUAAGACAGAGGAUGCAAGCGUUAUCCGGAAUGAUUGGGCGUAAAGCGUCUGUAGGUGGUUUGACAAGUCUCCUGUCAAAGAUCAGGGCUUAACCCUGGGCCGGCAGGAGAAACUAUCAGGCUAGAGUUCGGUAGGGGCAGAGGGAAUUCCCGGUGGAGCGGUGAAAUGCGUAGAUAUCGGGAGGAACACCAAAGGCGAAAGCACUCUGCUGGGCCGAUUUUUUUUGAACUCGUUCAAAAAAAGUACUGAC